CACACACAGUUACAGGCAGACAAUUACAAACACACACAGGUACAAAUGGACAGUCAUGUACAUACAGCCACAUAUACAGUGUCACACAUACACCGUUACAUGCAGACAGUCACACACACAGGCAGAAAGCCACAGACAGCCACACACACACACAGGCAGACUGCCACACACACACAGGCUGAGAGCCAUGCACACAGGCAGAC